rnacentral:rRNA from 1 species
AAAUGUAACAAGGUUUCCGUAGGUGAACCUGCGGA